rnacentral:rRNA from 1 species
AUUGAACGCUGGCGGCAUGCCUUACACAUGCAAGUCGAACGGUAACAGGUCUUCGGAUGCUGACGAGUGGCGAACGGGUGAGUAAUACAUCGGAACGUGCCCGAUCGUGGGGGAUAACGAGGCGAAAGCUUUGCUAAUACCGCAUACGAUCUACGGACGAAAGCGGGGGAUCUUCGGACCUCGCGCGGACGGAGCGGCCGAUGGCAGAUUAGGUAGUUGGUGGGAUAAAAGCUUACCAAGCCGACGAUCUGUAGCUGGUCUGAGAGGAUGAUCAGCCACACUGGGACUGAGACACGGCCCAGACUCCUACGGGAGGCAGCAGUGGGGAAUUUUGGACAAUGGGCGAAAGCCUGAUCCAGCCAUGCCGCGUGCAGGAUGAAGGCCUUCGGGUUGUAAACUGCUUUUGUACGGAACGAAAAGCCUCUUUCUAAUAAAGAGGGGUCAUGACGGUACCGUAAGAAUAAGCACCGGCUAACUACGUG